UUAUAAAUGUAGACUGCCAACAGACACUAUUUUGUCAGAAUACAGCUUGAAUUGUCUAAAGAAGAAAAAAAAGUUUAAAGAGUUUACAAGUCUAUGUAAUGCUGUCACUGAAGCUGCUUUAAAGUCAAAUAAAAGCUUAAUCAAAAUGGAUGCCCUUUAACUUAUUGGGAGAAGAAUUAGCCAUUCUUCUGACCAAAUAAAGAGAACAUCGACUAAUAUGGAUUUUGAUCAAUGAUGGCUUAGUUAACUGUUGUAUUUUUUUUUUUCCAUUUUUAGGCAAUUUUCUUCUAUUUAUAAUGACUAUCGAUUAUAUUCUGCAGUACCUAUUGUUUUUUAAUUUGAAAAAUGUAACUUUGUUUGAAAAA